GACGAACGCUGGCGGCGUGCUUAACACAUGCAAGUGGUGCGACGAACCAGGGCUUGCCCUGGGGCAAAGCCGCGAACGGGUGAGUAACACGUGAGUAACCUGCCCCGAUGACCGGGACAACCCGAGGAAACUCGGGCUAAUACCGGAUGUGGCGCACAGGCACAAGCCUGUUCGCCAAAGGAAGCUUCGGCCUCCGCAUUGGGAGGGGCUCGCGGCCCAUUAGCUAGUUGGUGGGGUCAAGGCCUACCAAGGCGACGAUGGGUAGCUGGUCUGAGAGGACGAUCAGCCACACUGGGACUGAGACACGGCCCAGACUCCUACGGGAGGCAGCAGUGGGGAAUCUUGCGCAAUGCGCGAAAGCGUGACGCAGCAACGCCGCGUGGGGGAAGACGGCCUUCGGGUUGUAAACCCCUUUCAGAGGGGACGAAGGUUCGGCGGUGAAUAGCCGUCCGGACUGACGGUACCUUCAGAAGAAGCUCCGGCUAACUACGUGCCAGCAGCCGCGGUAAUACGUAGGGGGCAAGCGUUGUCCGGAAUCAUUGGGCGUAAAGCGCGCGUAGGCGGCCCUGUAAGUCCGCUGUAAAAGUCAAAGGCUCAACCUUUGAAAGCCGGUGGAUACUGCAGGGCUAGAGUCCGGAAGAAGCGAGUGGAAUUCCUGGUGUAACGGUGGAAUGCGCAGAUAUCAGGAGGAACACCAAUAGCGAAGGCAGCUCGCUGGGACGUUACUGACRCUGAGGCGCGAAAGCGUGGGGAGCGAACAGGAUUAGAU
rnacentral:rRNA from 1 species